rnacentral:lncRNA from 1 species
ACUAUUUUACUAUUUUACUAUUUUACUAUUUUACUAUUUUAUUAGUUAAUUAAUAUUACUUAUUUUAUUUUCGAAUUAAACAAACGUUAUAACAAAAAUUAUAAGAUGAAUGUAUCCGCUGGGUCCAUAGACAAUGAACUUGUAAAUAAUUCGUAUGAUAUAAAAAACACUUACAACAAUAUAAAAAAAGAAGAUAAUACUGUUAAUGAAUAUAUGAAUAGAGAUAUAAAUUCGAAUUCGUCUAUGAAUGUAGAUAAUAACGAACAAGUAAAUAUAAGUAUUGAGAACAGUAAUUUGAAUAAAAAGAUUUAUAAUUGUCAUACCUGUAACAUUCAAAUUUAUAAUUAUUCUUUUUUUCGAUUUCAUUUUAAAUCUGAGUGGCAUAAGUAUAAUUUAAAAAGAAAGUUAUUAAAUUUGAAUGCAGUUAACGAAUUAACAUUUAAUGAAAAAGUUCAAAAUGUAAAACAGGAUGAAAAUUUAAAAGAUAAAAAAAAUAACAACGAUGCACACAAAAAAAGGAGUAACAAUGAUAAUAAUAAAAAAAAAAAAAAAAAAAAAAAAAAAAUAAAAACAUUACUAGUUGUUUAAUAAAUGAUAAAACAGAUGAGAAAGAAUCAUAUAGCGUAAACACAUGUAUAUUAAAUGAAAAAAAAAAUAACAAUACAUUAGUUAUUAUGAACAAUAAUGUAAAUGAUGAGAAUAAGAGCAUGUAUUUGAUAGAUCAAGUUAGUGGAGACACAAAAAAUGACAUAAAUAGUGUUCAAGCUUGUGACACUUCCGAUAAUCAUGAAGUAAACGAUAAUGGAGAACAAAAUAAUAAUAGCGAUCACAGCGAUCAUAGCGACAAUAAUGACAAUAAUGACAAUAGUGAUAAUAAUGACAAUAGUGAUAAUAAUAACAAUAAUGACAAUAAUAACAAUAGUGAUAAUAAUGACAAUAAUGACAAUAGUGAUAAUAAUGACAAUAGUGAUAAUAAUAACAAUAAUGACAAUAAUAACAAUAGUGAUAAUAAUGACAAUA